rnacentral:rRNA from 1 species
AUUGAACGCUGGCGGCAUGCCUUACACAUGCAAGUCGAACGGCAGCACGGGAGCAAUCCUGGUGGCGAGUGGCGAACGGGUGAGUAAUAUAUCGGAACGUGCCCAGUCGUGGGGGAUAACGCAGCGAAAGCUGUGCUAAUACCGCAUACGAUCUAUGGAUGAAAGCGGGGGAUCGCAAGACCUCGCGCGAUUGGAGUGGCCGAUAUCAGAUUAGGUAGUUGGUGGGGUAAAGGCUCACCAAGCCGACGAUCUGUAGCUGGUCUGAGAGGACGACCAGCCACACUGGAACUGAGACACGGUCCAGACUCCUACGGGAGGCAGCAGUGGGGAAUUUUGGACAAUGGGCGCAAGCCUGAUCCAGCAAUGCCGCGUGCAGGAUGAAGGCCUUCGGGUUGUAAACUGCUUUUGUACGGAGCGAAACGGUCUACUCUAAUACAGUGGGCUAAUGACGGUACCGUAAGAAUAAGC